UGUCAUAAAGGGUCAGUAGGACAAAAGCAGGAUGAGGGGUUGGGGUGGGGGUGGGGGUGGUGGAGGGUGAGGCGUUGACAACAGGUGGUGUGAGGAAGAGCUUUAACCACCUCCCCCCUCUAACGACAGUGCAGCACAGGGGCCACGGGGGCCGUGGAGAACAAUAAAGGCCCCUUGCUCCAACCGUUGGGUCCAAUCAUCUCACCCCCCCAUUAUCUCUCAGGCGCUGCACUGCCAGACUCACCAGUUCCUCUGUGCUAAAUGAAUGAAUGUGUAUUAAUAUUUCUGUGCUCAAACAAGUACGUAGAGCAACAUUUUAAGUCAAGUGAACUAUGGAUGCACGAUGCAUUUCAAAAGCGACAGUUAUUACCCCUACGAAUUUAUUGUUCAACAUGAACCCAUUUUCAUAUUUUAUGGACAAUAAAACUGAAAGAAUGGAAACAAUGACUAUUUUUUUAUCGACUCCAUGAAUAUUUAAUGUGUUUUUGUAUGCUGUUUUUUCUGAAGUAUCUUGAUUAAAACUGUAAUUAAUGGGGAGUCAUUAGUCAUGGUCUUACAGAAUGCAAAUGACCCCGUUAGGGCUCACUGAGGCCAACAAUAGCCCUCUGGCAAAACUACACAAGGGGCUGAGUGGUUGUGGAGUGUUGCCUCAGGGUACAGAUUAUUAAGAGGAAGUCCAGUUGGAAACCUUAUCAGAUGCAAAGACAAUGUGCAGCAGUUUAUUUGGCUUUUGGGCAGCGUUGGAACUGAAAAUGAUCACAUCAGCGCUUAUUUGCGCAGGAGCAAAAGUGGAACCAGGAUAAACCUUUUUCCCAGACUGCUUUAAAUUUUUGAGCCAGAGCCCUCUGCAACAGCACCCCCGCUGUACCAAUGUAGCGUCCUCAUUGAAAUUAAUGAGGAGCCUGUGUUUUUUAAUGUAUUGCUAAUGUCGGCCUGAAUGAGCCCGUAGGGGCAUCAUGAUGAAAGGCAGCCAGUAAGGCAUCGGUAGAGAAAGUAGAACAAAAGGAACAGUAGUGUGAGGAGAUGCAACAUGGAAAUAGACUGAACUAACACAAAUAACACACCACAGCAGAGACAAAUGGCAGAUGGUUGAGCAUGGGCAGCGGGGGGGGCUCGAAAGAAAUUCACCCAGAAGCAGGAUACAUCUGGGGAGUUUCAGGCGGCAUAAUGAUGGACAGGCCAACACAAUCAAUACGAGGUUCAAACAAAUCAGUCAAACGCAACAUGAAGGCAGCUGAGGGAGAAGGAGCUGGUGGUCAGUUGUUACCGAGCAGGACAAUCAGAAUAAGAGUUAAAUCACCAAAAUGGAACCUUCUAAGAAUCACAAUGGUCUUUACCCAACGUGAUGUUGUCUUUGCACAGCAAGUUGUAGGUAUUGAACCAAUCAGUGGAGUUAUUGGGAAAAUUAUUCCGUUUAUUGAAUCACAGAUUGGUGUUAUUUAUGAGCUCCAUUCAAGGACAGCUCAGUGUACAGUAGCUGCAGGACGUUUGGCUGCAUGUAGGUGUGGGACAAUCCAGUGUAAUUAUUUGUGUCCACUUAUUCUGGCAAUUGGAAAACUUCAUUAGACAACCAAUUCCAAUUGGUGGGACUCAUUCUGACUGAUGACUAAUUCUAGGUUUUGCCAGCUUAUAUUAAUUAUUGGACAAUUUAUUCUGGUGGUUGGAUGAGUCAUUCUAAAUUAGAAAUUAUAUAUUGGUAAUUUGUCAAUUAAUUGUAGUCGCAUCAGGCUAACUCACUCCAGGAACUGACUAGUCAAACCAGAAAAUUGGACAUGCUCUCAAUGGUGUUGCCUUCUAACAUGGCCGCCCUCGUGCACACACUGUGGUGUACGGCUUCAUUUUAUGAAGGAUAUGGUUUCUAUCAACAGACAUUUGUUUUCAUGCCAUUAUGUUUUGGGUAUUUAUACCUUCCUUUGAUUGUGAUAGUGGGGAGAGUCAGGAAACGUGGGGAAAGCAAGUAGCAAGAAUCUUGCAUCUGCGCCCAUGUGGUAGCCCAACCAUCGGGUCGCCGCAUCGAGAGACAUUUUAAGCAAUAUUUUCAACUCACUUCAACUCUGAUGCAGCAUCUCGUAAGCACUUAGACUGAAUAGACUGAAAAUAUCAGUCUAUUCCAAAUCACUGGUGGUGAAUGUUAAAUUAGAAUUAUGUAAAUCGGGAUGGUUCCCUUUCUGCAUAUGAAUAAGGCUUAUGCUCUUCCCUUGUAUGUAGUGGUCUGCAGUUUGCUACAAUCAUGUCAAGAGCAUCUUCCUGAGCAGUGACAGCAUGUUUAACACUAGAGAUUGCUUAAUCUUUAUCGUCCUUGUUGGAUGUGCUUUCAGUAUAUACCUCAAUGUAUCUUUGUCGUCUCACCUUUCCAAUUUCCUGACUGUUUCAAAUGCAUUCUCAUACCUAGAACUAUCCUUUGGAACUUUACUAUCGACAGAAGCAUUCACCCUUGAGUAGUUGGUAUGGCCCAAGUAAUUCUGGUCGCCAGCUCUUUGUGCUGUAAAAGUUAUUCCAGGGGGAUUUACGUAUAUUUGACCUGUCUGCAAAUAGUAAAUAGGAGGGCAAACAGCUGUGGAAAAUGCUUAUUGAUUUCCACUCACGUGUAUUUGUUCAAGAUUAAUUUCUCCUUAAGACACGCCCCUGACUCUGAGUUAUAAAAGGUCAGCGUAUGGGGGCUUAAGUCAUUCAAGUGGAGCUAAAUGGAUUUCUGCUCUAAGAUCCAUCUGUUUUUGGAGUUUGUUGACAGGGUGAAGAUUGGAACUGUUGCUCUUCCCUACCCCCAGUCGUACCACCUCCUCUUCCACCCCCCCUUCUUUUCAGUGCAGGGGUAUGACCAGGCACGGCACCCCAGCAGAGUAAAGUGUGCUGGGCACGCGGCAGCAUACAAGACCUGGCCAUCUGCUGCAGCUAUGUGAACACAUCCGUGAUCGUUUGACAGGGAGAAGUGCGGCAUUGGUCAGGCUUGGGCCAUAAGUUGCGUUAGCAGACAGUGACAGCUGAGGGGGGGGGUCGUCAUCUGACACGAGCAGACUGGUUCUCCUCCAACAGGAAGACACUGAUGUCAGACAGACGACUCACCUUCUUCACCUCUCAGGCACCUCACCGGCAGGGAAAGUGGACAGUGUCUGCAAACAUGCAGCAAAUGACAGUGUGUGUGUGUGUGUGUGCAAACAGCAAGAGACGCUGCUGAAGAAAUUGACAGGACUAACAAGUUGGUGAGACAGCAUAGAGAACUGCUCACAUACUUACAAACAACCAUCAGGGUUCUCCUGCUCUGUAUCUGGCUGUUUUUCCACCAAUAUAAGAACAAACUGUGAUCAACUCUGCAUCAUACUGUUGUAUGUGAUCCUACAGUGGAGGGCUGCAGGAAACCUAGAAAUGAGUCAGCAUUUUGGUACUUCAGGUUCCCUCGUCUGCAAAGUCGAUGGGUUUUGGAAUGUGUUUUUCUCUACGACUUAAAAUCCGUCAGUUAAUACCCCACUUGUGAAUCUGGUAUACAAAUCACAGAAUGAGACAGGAUUUUACUCGUGUAUUUCUCUCUACAGCGUUGUUACAAAGUAUUGUACAGGAAACGGGCACUACUCUCCUUGACAUUAUGUCGCGGCACCUUUUUGUUUGACAGUGCUUCCUUGAGCUGAAUGAGGGGGCAGUGCUUUAUGACUGGUGCUAUAGUCGUUCUGAACAACGCCCAAAUCACCCUGUUAAAGUUUCACCUCACAUUGUAUGAGUGGAAUUCUUACCACCAUUCCACUGCAGUGGUCAAUAAUGAAUGGGUUGCGCUUGAGUGUUGUGGGUGGUGGACCCAUUGUCUUUCGGCGCCUCCCCGUUCUCCUCGAGGUCGAGUUAAAGAGUGUCUCUGGUUUUCCAGAUGGGUGAACUACAGUAGCCUUGAUGGGCCGUAGGGUCGGCUGAGGGCAGAUCGGGGGGCAGGCAGGUUGGGGGGGGUUAAAGGAGGAGGGGGGCAAUUUGCCUUACAAUGGGCUCAGCAAUUCUCAGUGACCCUUUUAGCCUGCCAUAGGCUGCACGAUGUCGGCCAUUACUAGAUUAAAGUAAUCCUCUUUUCAGGGCCAGACAAUUGCUUUAUUAGCUGACCACACACAGGAGCCCGACCACCUCGGUCAUAGUAUUGUUGUCGGGGAGCCCUCGGGGUCCCGGGGUGGGUGUUAUUGGGUAGAAGGGGGAGUUUGUCACUGUUGUUGCGCUCUCCUUAGCAAUGCCAUGCAUACGUUACUUCUCCUUGUUUAACCCUACGCACCAGCCAUUUUUGUCUGUGAGGUUGUUUAUUUUCAUGGUGCGACACACACACACUUACAAAUGUCCACGCGGCCCCCUCCACACCCAAUAUUCCCACAUAUUCGACAUAUUGCCUGAAUUACGAUCAGAUUAAGUGCGGGUAUGGAUAUGCAUGUUUGCAAAUCCCCCUCCUCUUCCUCCAUGCGGUCCAGAUUUUUUUUUUCUCUGAAGCUCUCCCCUGGCUUGUUUUUGCCAACAAAAAAUAAAUCCCAUCAAAAUGCUGUUUCAUCUCCUCUUUUCCUGAGUUUCUAAAGGCAUGGUGCAUUUCUAACUGGGCAAAAGAGAUCCUUUCAAAAUCCAUUCCAAAAUGUGUGUUUUUGCUGGCAGAUUGUUCUUUGUCAAAAGGGCAUAAGUUGUUUUUUACGAGCCUGUCAAUCAGGCGCGUACGGCUUCACCUGAUCAUUUAUUCAGCUAUACGAGGAGCGGGGAGCCACUCGAGCUGAAUUAAGUAUUGUCAAACAGUGUGAAUAUUUCAUGAAUAACCGGGGUAAUUUGAAGAGAUGUGUCGUGGUUCUAUCUUUACAUGGUAGUGUUCAUGAGAGAGGCAUACAUUCGCUCUGGUAACAGAGAGUUUUCUGAGCUUCGGGAUGCAUCUCUGUUCGUUCCCUGAAGGAUAAAUGCAAGCCUGAGUUUAAGAGGAGGUUCACGCAGGGCAAGUUCACAACAUCUGCAUCUGGGAAUGUAUGAUAUCAAUCUAGGAAUAAGCUUCAGUUCCUUUCUUUUAUCAUCAACGUUUGGACUGAACUCCUCCACCUUAAGCCAGUAAAUACACAGCUUCAUUAAGUUGAUGUAUUGGACAUGGACUGAACAUGUAUCAACCCAUUCACCUUGACUGGACAUCUUUCCCCUGUAGAGGUUGCGAGAAUUCACUGUUCUUCAUCAGUUCCCAUUAAGAGACUAAAGAGAGGGAGCAAUAAAUCGUAAACACGGCUUUUUGAUGAUGUGAUAUUAUUGAUCCACGCCAGGAAAUAGUUUUUUUUUCCCCUCUCUCCUCGCUGCAGGAGGUCAGAAGGCGGGGUCAGCCGGAGUAGGAAACACAUUAUUGCAUUGCCCCGAGGACGCUUGAGCAGGAUGCUUGUGGCACUAACCUGGCCUCUCUGCUUGAAGGACGUCUCUCUCACCACCAGUCUGCCCUGUGAGAUCUUUUUACUUUCUUGGAGGAAAACCCCAAGUGUUCCUUUAAUUCCCAGAGAAUUACAGAGUCCAUACUCUGGUGACUUUGGUCUGCAGGUUGUCAGGGGUCGGGGGGAGUCAUGUGUAUCCCAUCAGGAAUUGCAGAGAUGAAACACAGAGAUGAAAAAAUUGGCAGAAAAAACACACACACACACGGUGGAUUAACCUCAAGGUUGCCGGGUGGGUGAGCACAGCAACCGGCUCACAAUUGGGAUGGAAACCUGCCGCUGAGCCCCAGGUAGGUGAACACUCCCCAUGCCGCGAGGUCGGAAGGAUUUCCAUGCAAAUUGUUUGUGUGAGAGUUGGUGUGUGUGUAUGAGUGGACACUUGUUUACAGUAGAGCGGUUCUAUUUGUGCCUGUGCACAUACCUUCUGUAGUAUCAGGCUAAUGGGAGGAGCUGGGUAGCGGCUUCGGUGUGAGAAGAUUAGUAGUAUUUUUAUAAGGGCUCCCUCUUGACUUGAAAUAUGGCUGUUUCAGUCCAAUAGGCUUGGCAUGCCUCCGAUCGUUCCGCUCUCUCUCUUUGUGUGCAUGUGUGACGGGGGAAGGAAAGGAGAAGGGUUAAGAUCCAGCAGGAUGGAUGGGCCUUUAAAACCUCCCCACACACAUACUGUAUGCACAAAGUACAGCGUGAGGCUCGUUUAAUCAUUUCAAAAGUACCAAUGAUAUUUCAUCUUUCAUUUUCUUUUACUUUAUUAGUGUCUUGACUGAAAUACCUGGACGAACCAGAUGAACCUGCACACAGUACUUAAUAGGUUGACCAAACUGUAACUUUUUACUGGAGUAGCUUCAGUUUCCCAAAGCUCAAGACAACGUCCUCAAAUGUCUUGUAUUGUCCACAACUCAAAGUGAAUCAGUUUACUGUCUUAGAGGAGUUAAGAAACCAGAAAAUAUUUACAUUAAAGAUAUUUGAUCAUUUUACUAAUAAAUUAUCCAAAUCGAUUAAUCUUUGCACACAAGUUUUCUUUUUAUAUAUAUAUGCAGCCAAAGUAAUCAAAUAUUUUCAUCUGCAGAAAAUCUUGGGUGCUGCCCAGAAUCGUUUUUAUUGAACAAUUCUCCAGGACGUGAGCCAAAUAUUCCUCCAAUGUAGGCAGUAAUGUGCCCUGUGGGUAGCUGGGUGUAUGCUCGGGGCAGAGAGGAAUAGGAGUGCAGCUGUAUACAGUUAGUGUAUACAGUAUAUGGUGUCCAGUUGGGUGUUGGAUUUCAAGCAUCUCUGCAAAACUAGUCUAUGAAAGUAAUCCGUGACUUUUCAGAAAGAUGAAACAUUAGCACUCUUUCAGUCCAGCGAUACGGUUGUUGCUACUGUACGCUGCAGCAGAUAUGACUUAUUUUAGGCAAAGGUGAAGUCAUGAAUUGAAACAUCCCUCAACUCAUCUUCAUCAGUCAGUCCUGGUCUCCUCUCCCUUUCUGGAGGCAGCACAGUGGCAUCUGUGUCUGUAUCACGUAUACCUUGCGAGACUCCUCAGCUCCCAGUCCUUUCUAUGACUUACAUAACAUUCACCGCGUGCACUGGUUAGCAUGCUCACCCGUAUGAAGCAUGAGCCAGCUUAAACAUAUAAUCUUAUUGUCACAUGAUUGCAGCUCCGUGCUAACAGGGCGCCCGCAGGUCGGCCUGAUCGUCCUCAGCCUCAGUUCUCAAGCUCCUGUUGUGGGCCAUGUGCUUCAUUAUAACACACACACACACACACACACAGACACACAGAACAACCCCCCCAUGAGCUUCCCUUCAGUGUCUGUGUGGCUGAUAAUGAGAGCCUCCUGUGCUGUCCCACCACUACAUGUGGGGCCCACGGUCAUAUUGGCUGCAGACUACACCACUGCCAAGUAUUAGCCCCUCCCACCACCACCAACCGCUCCUCAUCCACCGCUACACCCCCCCUUCCAACACGUCUGGGUGUGACAAGGCACUGUGGUGGGUCUCGGCCCGGGCGUUUAUAAGCGCUUAAAAGCCAUGAAACGUCACACCUUGACUGAUAACCUCAUCUAUUUUUUUCCCUCAGCAGUGGCUGGGGGGCUGGGUGGGUGAUGGCGGCUCCUCAUAUAUUAUCACCUAAUUCAAUUUGGGGCAGUAUUUUACAUAACGUGGCUACGGCGAUAACAUAUAAACAGUAUCGGAACAUGACAUGAAUAUGAAUUGCACGCCGUUGUCUUGCUGAUUGCGUUGUAAGAAGAGGUUUAUAUAUGCCAAUAACGGGUUCAUAAUCUGCUUCUAAUGCAUCGCGGUGACUUGUGGGUUUCCUUCCAGUGUUAUCUGAGUGCUGUGGCUAGUAAUUGGUUUUCCUGAGGCUUCCACGUAAUGUUAAUUUGCACUGCAGAGAUUUUCUAUCAACGUCUGGCCAAGACAAAUUUGGUAAAUAUUGCUCUAUAAAACUGAUAGAGAACUGAUUUGUUUUGAUGUUAAGGCCUGAUCUCUUUACUAAUAAUCACAGAAAAAAUGAGAUUUCCUCAGCAUUCAUCUCAACCUGUAGGGUCUCAUUCAUGGAAAUAACUUUUCAUGCUCCUGUCAUCGUGACCGGUGGGACCAGCUGCUUCUCAACCAUCAGCCCAGGUUUGGUGGCAGCAUGGGUGGGAGGGCUCUGGGAGAGGGUGCCGUGGGUUUGGGUGGGUGGAUGGGUGGGGUCAGGGCAGCUUUUGUGGCUGUUAAACGGACUCAGCUGACGGGACUAAAUAGCAGUGACGGCGGCCUAAAUGGCCACACUGAGGGACACGCUGAGGGACAAAGGAAAAUGGAGGGAGUAAAUUUGAAGGGAGAAAUGCGUCAGACAUUGAUGAACAGGGUGUGCGUGUGUGCGUGCGUGCGUGCGUGCGUGCGUGCACCCGGUGGUGGUGGAGGUGACCCCCCUGGACUUGUGGAGGGAGUAAUUGAAAUGCCCUGUCGAUGUGAUUCCUAUUCAUCUGGCUUUAGUGCCGGCUCAAUCUCGCCGUCGGCCACAGGAGCAUUUCCAGAGAGCUAAACCAUGUUGGGUCAUUUACUCAAGGCCAUACAGUACUCUGAGAGCCAAAUGACAGCGCCAUGAGAAAAUAAAUGAAAUGGAAUUACACUUUAAACCAAGUUGGGUUUUUUCAGAAGGGAGGACAUUACAGAUCAGCUGUCAGAAAAUGUUGAUAAUUAAAUGGUAAGGGCUUCUUGACAGUGUGCGUGUGUGUGUGUGUCAGUACACUGCAGGGGGGGUUCCAAUCUCCAGUCAGCCUGUAUAUUGGACUGAGCUGGUGAUAAUAUUGGAUUCAGACAGUGUUUUGCUGUAUUUGCUGCUACAGCUGCCGUGCAGCAUAUCUGUGCCGGUGUCUGUGUUUGUAUUGGGGGGGUCGAGGAGGCGGUGGGCGCUUAAAGGCAGCAAGGACAUCUGUCUCCAACUGUGAGACCUCCGCCCCUCCCUCCACCCUCUCCAGACCCUCCCGUCACCACAACACACACACAAUAUCCUGUGCGGGGCCGUUUCAUCAUGGUGUAAUGGUUGAUAGGGAUCGGAGGGGGUCCACUCUGGUAAAUGAGAGUGGCUGAUGGAAGGUGGUUUCUGACGGGGCCCCUUGUCGGCCCGAGGGCUCGGACAGAUAUUGCCUUGGGGACCAGGCUUCACUUAUAGAGAGGACAGAGAAGACGUUCAUGCGUGCGCCUAAGCAGCCUUGUGAAAGAGAUAAGAAUGAUGCAUGUACUCCGGCAAAGGGCUGAAACCUCACCGUGUGUUUGGCGUUGCGUUCACACCGAAGCAGAUUGCUCCUUGUCGGGGACAAGAUGGGAGCUGACGGAUGGACGGAAGACGACGUCAGUCCCCCACAACAGAGCUUGAACCAGAGGACGCCUCUCUCGACUCUCCUCCCUUCAUCCGUCGCUUUGCUCUGCUUGCCAAGGGACUAUCCAUCAUUCUCUCCCUGCCAUCUGAAUAUUUAUUCUUGAGGGGGUGCUGACACACACACACACACACAGUCCUUGGAACAUUAACGACAGCGAUAAAGCCAUUUAAUUAAAAGUGAGCCUGAGCUCGCCCCAAAGGUGUUUUUUAUGUCCAAUUAAAUGCUCAAAUGAUGCCCUGAUAUACAGCAGGGUCGUGCUACUUUGCUCAUGUGGUAAAUCACAAGUCCAGUGGUCACAGAUAAAUAUCAUUUAACAAUAACAAUGCUUUUUUUGGUGUAGAAUGGUGUUUUUUUUUUUUUUUGUAAUGAUUCAGUGUAAUUUGUAAUUCACACAUCCAUCAUUGUGUGUCACAAGCUGAUAAAUACUGCGUGGAGAUGGGUGUCAUUUGUUUUCUUGUGACUAAGGCGCUUGUCAUUGUGUAAAGAUACAGUCUGACAGCAGUCUGUCGCAGACAGUGAAGCUAAACACACAGAUCUGAUUUGCAUUAUUAGAUGUGGUUUUUCUAGGUGUUUGGAGUAGAUGAUGAAAGCUUCUCUCAUGAUACACCUGACUUCAUAUCGUGACAUAGAUUUGUAGAAAUUAUCAAGAAAUGAUUAACGCUGCGACUACCAAUUGUUUUCUCAUUGUAUUGCUAUAAAAUGUCAAGAAACGGUGAAAAUGCCUCUUAAAAUUAAAAACCCGACAGUUCAAAACCCAAAGAGAUUCAGUUCAAUCUCAUGUGCAGCAAAAAAACCAAAAUCAUCACAUUUGAGAAGCUGGAGUGUUUCAGCCUUUUUGCAAAAUAGUUUCUGAUUAAUUUUCUUUUUGAUUGACUAAUCUAUUCCAUUGAUCCAUUGUUGCACCUCCUGAAACAAUGAAUAGAUAAAGUGAACAAAUGAUAAUGUGAGGCGAGGCUAACACAAUUAAUUAAUACCUGACAAAUCAAACCACUUGAGGGGCCAGGUCCGGUAGUAAUUGUUCCUGUGCAUCCCAGACAGCUGCAACAUUGCCCACAACCGUCGACAUACAGUUGAGCCCAGUAACAAGAGCUUAAAGAUACAAAAACCAAGCUUUCAAAGAUAACAAUACUUGAAAUGGUUCAACAAAAUCCCUGCUGGUAGACAGAAAUGCUCUUAUGUCUGUAUUGCCAUGUGUGCUACUUUGUUUGUAUCAUGUAUGUUAUACAUUUUCAGGCUUUCCAUUCCAAUCAGACAUAUUUCAAACAGCACAUGCGCUCCUUAUCUGUGUGUUACUGUGUGUCUGUGCUCUGAUUAAAGCCCAGUGGUGGGGAUUACUUUGGCUUUGUUGAAGGGCUUUAAAGAAAGGGUCAAAGAGCACCCACUUAAUAUGGGCCCCAAAGGGCCUCAUGGGUAAUUGCCAGUGCCUAAUAAACUUCUAGACACCCUCUUUUCUGGAGAGUGCGGAGGGCAGAACGGGAAAAAGAUCAGGGGCCCCUGGAGCCACGAUCUCAGAGUGGUGUGUGACAGGUCAUCGCGGCGGUCCUUUAACCCCGCCGCAUGCUAAUUCAGACCUGGGGUGCAACGUACCGCCCUAUUUCCCUCCUCGCUUUGCAUGAUGGGACAGGUUACUGAACAAUUUAGUCAGGGAUUUGUAAUCUGCCGUGAAUAGUGAUCGGGAGAAAUGUCAGCGGCAGGUACGGAUAAGGUCAGGGAUGUUGUUCGGCAUAUCAUUCCAGGAUUGGAAGGGCCAAUGGGAUUUGGAGUGCCCCAAGUGGUCUGUGGCUUAGUAAUUGGCCAUCAGGAUAUGGGUCUGACUGAAGCCAUAAGUGGCAAUACGAGACAUAUUUUUAUUUUUUUGAAAGAAAGCAACAUAGUGGUUCAGAAGCCCACAUUGAAUUGCAUAGACGUGUAUUUUAUCAGGCGAAGGCAAGAACAAGCUCCCUCCGUCUAAUGAGGGAAUGAAAAAUACCCCCUUAAACACUGACAUGACCUUGAUUACAAACAAAACAGGCUGAUUUAUCUCCGCGCAUACACACCCACGUUCACCCUCCUUCAAAGAGGACGCAGCGCUAUCUUGACAAGAAGAGAAAUGAGUCUUUGCGGCGUACAGCCUGACAUUGAGAUACAAUGCAUUUUUCACACACCCAGGUAUUUCAGAUAGAUAAAUGUCAAAAGUCUAGCGAGGUUAUAUGGAUUUAUGGACACAUGGAUGUAUGGAUGGUGAUGAUAAUGCUAAUGUCCUGUGAUGUCAUUAGGGGUGGUGUGUCAUUUAUUAGAUGAGGACAAAAUGCCUGGAGGAGACAUUUACUGACAAACAAUAACAUGUGCAGUCUCUGCUUUACAUGAAUUUUUCUUUAGCCACUGGCACCAAUGAAAGAUGACUCGGAGCAUCCGGUUUUACACUUUUGCUCUCCACUGUAAUAACACACCAUAUAUUCUCCUCCGUUUGCUUAUUUUGGUCCUCAAGGCCUUCCAUAGCAAGUGAACAUGGGAAUAUCGGCUUUGAAAAGUGUUUUGUAUUCUAUUAAUUCUCAGGGCAAAUAUAAAUAGAAGACACAUUUUAGACAAGCCUUUGAAUCAAAUAAACAAGAAAUAAAUUAGGUUUUACAGAGAGUCACAGGGGCAUUGGUCUUUUUGGUUGAAUGGGGUUGGAAAGAAUGCUGUUACUUACUAUAUGUAAGUAACAUAUUGCAUAUUGUAACUGUUACUUACAAUAUGUUACUUACAAUGCAAUAUGUACUUACAGUACAUAUUGCAUUUUUUUUUUUUACUAUUUUACAUACCUACAUAUUGUGUUAAUGAAAAUGCCAAUAUGUAUUCAAUCCCCAUCCAUCAAUCAAUCUGACAACUCAGUGAUGCUCUUAAAUGUUGUGACCAGUAUCCAGGGCUUUGUCAUUCCCCAAAGAGGACAGUCUCAAAUGUUAAUGGGAUGAGGACGGCCCAUUAUUCCAAAACCACAAUAGUACGAACAAAUGUCCCAGUGGACUGAAAGCCCAUUUGUCCUUCAGCCCGUUAUCCUAAAGGUCCAUUGCUCCGAAAAUACAUCAAACAAAAGCAGAUGGCUAAUAAUUCAUCAACUGUAUGGAGAUGGUUGUGGGCAAUAUUGAGGCAAUAUGGGAUUUACAGAAUGUUUGCAUUAAUAUAAUGAAGUAGCUUGAUUUGUUAGGUAUUUAAUCAGUUGUGUUCGCCUUAACUCACAUUAUCAAUUGGUCAUUUUGUAAGUGACGUUGGUGUAUGAUAAGGAAUAAAUCAGUCCAACACGUUCUAGGUUUUCCUCAUAACUUUAGUGAAGUCCCAACGCUGAACCAAACAAGUCUUUCUCUCCUUUCUUAAACAUGAGUGUGAUUGGUUAGGGUUAGGGCAAGAAUAUUGGGCGAGCCAACCAGGGGCAGGCUGUCAGAAUAGUGGCCAUUUGUUUUCAGGAUAACAGGCUUUUGGACAAAUAGGAUUUCGGUCUAAUGAGACAUUUUUCGGACUAUUGGUGUUUCUAAAUAAUGGGUUGUAAAAACAAUGGCAUGGCACUAAUUGAAUAGCAUCAUGAUUGGACCAUAACUUUGUCAAUGUAGGCUGUAAUGUGUGCUAAUUUGUACUUAUUGUCGUAGGAGUUGAGUAGAAGAGUUUAUUUGAUAAAUGUAGAGUACUAUCUCAGAAGUGCUUGACAAAGUAAAAUAUAGUAUUUACAUAAUUAUGUCAUUUCCACCACUGGUCUUGAACGUAUAAAUAUUGCUGCUGUUAACCCAUUUCACGUCAACCUAAAAGAUGAGAAUAAUGCUAAAUGUGUUUGUUUGAAUCAGAAGAUUAUUGAAGAAUUGUAUGGCGUUAAAGUGCUCAGUCAGUUUUAUCGUAUUCUGCAUGUCAGCCUUUACAGACAGAGAAGUUAUGUAAUAUUAAUACACUUUAAAAAUCAGUUUCUCCCCAAACAUGACAAGAUGGACAGAGAGGUGAUAUACUUAACAGCUUUUCUUUGAGCAGCAAUGUUCAGAAGUCUGUGAAAAGCACAAACUACAACACCAGCUUCUGACAUGACUUGCACUUUUUAAGGUGAGGUAACUGACUUCUCUCUUCAUGCCUCAGCAGCCCUGCAGAUCUUGGCACACUCAAGAACAAUUUGAUUCAGGACAUGAGCGGAAUGUCAUUACGUUGAUAUAACUUAUUAAUACCUCAAUGAGACGUAUCAAUAUAAUGUUAGGAAGUAUGCAAAUCAGCCAAGCUCUCCUCUGGCAUCAAUUAAUCAUCCACCAACUCCUUUAUGUCCAAAUCUCACAUCUUCCCAUAGCUUCAAAGAGAACUUUGUGGAAUAUUUGAGGGUUGUAAUUUGAUACCCUCCAAAUGCUCUUUUGAAAGAGUUGCUGCUCGUUUUCAGACAUUUCUUAAUAAAUGCAGAGGAGAGAUUGUGAUGUGAAAGGGAAGUUUGCAGGGAGAUGCUUUUCAGAUCCGUUUUGGCGUCUUUUUGGGGGAUGGUCGGGCCAGGUAGGAAUGCCAUGAAAAACCAUCUCAUUGGUUUAUCCCCUUUGUAAGUCUCGAGUGGCUAAGGCCAGCCUUACCCUGCAGGCGUGCAUGGCUUUGGUCUCUUGGGGGUAGACUGAUCUUGUCAGUACAUCAUUCUAGAGUACAAAACCAUCCUCCACACCUGUAAUCUGAGAGGUCACAAAGCCUUAGAGACUGAAAUAAGACAGAAGAAGUCUAAUGCCUUCAGGUAACACGCAAGAUGUUGACUGCAGAGGGAUGCAUUUGGAAGUAAAGAAGACAAAUCUCUAAUAUUUGAUACAUGAUUCCAGGGAAGCAAAAGAAAGGGAGUUAUUUUCUGGAUUGCCAUAGCUUCCUGUUAUAUCACUGAUUUACCUUGUUUGAAUGGUGACUUGUUUUCUUGACCGUGUUCCAAGUGUAUUUAUAUAUUUGCAAACGGUGUGUGUAUCUGCGUGUGGGUCAGAUUGAAUAAUGCAUCUACUUUUGUGCAAGAAAAGUCUUUAUUAUUGAUGUGCACACAUGACACAGACUCAAUGAAGACCACAGAGACGCAAUGUUAAAUUCACAGUCAUACAUUAUGCUUUGUGUUAGUCCGCUCAGUCAAACAGUGAGAGACGAUCCUAAUUUGUGAUUGGCACUUUUUUAAAGAAAAGUGUCACGGACAGGCUAAAUAUCAGGACAAGUUAGCAGAUGAACAUUGAAUGCAAAGCCAGAUAACAGACGGUAUCAUCAACAAGGAAGUUCACGCACUCUAACCAUGCCUCUUCUCUUCUUCUGUUUUUUCUUUCCAGUUCUGAGAGAUGACUUCCGUCAAACACCCAGUGAUGUGGUGGUAGCAGCAGGUGAGCCGGCUGUCAUGGAGUGUAUCCCCCCCAGAGGCCAUCCUGAGCCCACCAUCUCUUGGAAGAGAAACAACAUCCGGGUCAAUGACCGGGAUGAGAGGAUCACUAUGCGAGGAGGCAAAUUGAUGAUUUCCAACACCAGGAAAAGCGAUGCUGGCAUGUAUGUGUGCGUUGGAACCAACAUGGUCGGAGAGAAAGACAGUGAUCCUGCUGAGCUGGUGGUGUUUGAGAGGCCGGUGUUCACCAAACAGCCGGUGAACCAGGUGGUGUUGGCAGACGACACGGUGGACUUCUUCUGCGAGGUGCACGGAGACCCGACUCCGACUGUCCGCUGGCGGAGAGAGGAGGGAGAGUUGCCCCGGGGCAGGUACGGAGGAAAGGACACUCAUGUGUUGUCUGAUAUCUGCUCCAUGAUUCACUACCACCUUGGUGUCAUCAGAAUACGGUAGUGGUCAGGGUGUUAACAACAUGUUACAUUUCCAGUCAUUUCACUGAUAAUAUACCAGCUUCCAAUGCUCUGUGCUGAGAAAGGCAACAUGAGAAAAAUAUUGAAUUAUUGAUUGAAAAGAUGAUUUCCUGCGAGUGCAUCUAUUCCAACUGUUUUGAGUUAAAGCUUAGGAAGUUAAAAUUAGAGAAACCAGUUGGAUUUUGAAAAGUGUUUAACCUAUAAACCCGGCCCAGUGCUGACAACUCUUUUCCAAUGACAGUAGCUAGCAGCACUAGCUCCAAAAGUUGCUAAAUCUAGCGAGGAGGUUGCCAAGUCGGCAGUCCGUCCCUUCAGGCCUCCCUCCAGAGAACCUCCCCCAAAAUGAUCAACAAUGUUAGUACUUAUAGCUGUCAAGCCAGCAACUUUUGGAAAACUGUGGUGACACGCAAUGAGUGCACAGGCAGAAUACGAGCAGGUAGAUGGAUAGGUAGGCAGCCAAUCAUUUCAUUCAGGCCGAAUAGCAUGAUUGGACGGGUUUACUGCAGUCCUGUGACAGCCACAGAUACCAGAGCAUUUCAUUCAUUGAUUGCUGUAAAGAUGUAAAGAGAAUUUCAACAAAUAUACUCACCCUGGCUUUAAGACAACAAAAUUACAAAAUACACAAGGUUUUGAAAAGAAGAUGUUUUGGAGGCGUAAUGGACAGCAAAUUUGAACAAAUUCCCGCUCCCAUGGAGCCACAAUACAUGUCAUUCCAAAGAUACCAGGUAUUCUAGGAAUCCAGAUGUACAGCAUCUUGUGACGGUCAUCCAAAAACAAUGCAACUUAUUUGUUAAACAGCUGUGGAACUGGCCCUUUUUAAGACAGUGAUAGUAAUAGUAAUGCCGGUGAUGGUACAUGAUAGCAGU